rnacentral:sRNA from 1 species
UUCUCAGUCCUAGAGACUGAAGUUCUCUUUAGUUAUAGCAGUAGAAGCUUCCCCACGCAACCCCUGAUCGUUCUGUGCCCUCAGCCCUGACCUGGAGGGAUCACAUUUAGGGUAAGAGAAAAAUCCAGUCCUUAUGCCCAUUAUACUUUUGACCUCU